CCCAGCCCCCGUAACCUCUAACCUAUUCCCUCUCCGUGGUCUCGUCUGUUCUAGAGAGUUCUGGUUAGCGGGCCGGACAGUGUUAGUCCUCUUGCUGUGGCCGUGUGUCAGCACAGCGCCCUGGAGGCCCGUCCAGGGGCACCACGCAGGUGACCAGGUUACCGGCCUCCUUUUCAGACCGAGCAGCCUUCCACGGUGCGGACGGACCUCGUUUGUCCGUCCGUCCAUCCAUCUAUCCAUGCUGCCGCGGACACGGCGUCCGAGUCCCCGUUUGCUGUCUCUGGGAGGGGCUGCCGGCUCACGGGGGCUCGACCUUUCGCUUUCUGAGCAGCCACCCGCCUUGCGUUCCCACGGCGAUGCGCGAACGUUCCAGUUCCUCCACAUCUUCGCCAACAGCCGUUAUUUUCCUUUUUCACAAACAUUCCAGCCGUCUGUUGGAGUCUGUUUCCCGUUGCUCACGGUUCGGGAGGCCGGGAGGCCCAGGCCGAGGGCCCGCGCUGGCGAGGGCCUUCCCGCCGGGGGACCUGCGAAGCCACAGUUGCCCUGCCGUGCCAAGUACCCGGCCAUCAAGGACCUGAUGCGGCCGGACCCGCAGCUCAAGUGGACGGUGCUGGCGCUGGUGCUGGCGCAGCUGCUGGCCUGCUGGCUGGUGCAGGGGCUGGCGUGGCGCUGGCUGCUCUUCUGGGCCUACGUCUUUGGCGGCUGCGUGAACCACUCGCUGACGCUGGCCAUCCACGACAUCUCGCACAACGCCGCCUUCGGCACAAACUGCGCCGCCUACAACCGCUGGUUUGCCAUCUUCGCCAACCUGCCCGUGGGCCUGCCCUACGCCGCCUCCUUCAAGAAGUACCACGUGGACCACCACCGCUACCUAGGUGGCGACGGGCUGGACGUGGACGUGCCCACGCGCCUCGAGGGCUGGCUCUUCUGCACGCCGGCCCGCAAGCUGCUCUGGCUGGCGCUCCAGCCCUUCUUCUACUCGCUGCGACCGCUCUGCGUGAACCCCAAGGCCGUGACCCGCAUGGAGGUGCUCAACACCCUGGUGCAGCUGGCGGCUAAUGCCGCCAUCUUUGCCCUGUGGGGGCUCAAGCCCAUCGUCUACCUGCUGGCCAGCUCUUUCCUGGGCCUGGGCCUGCACCCCAUCUCGGGCCACUUCGUGGCCGAGCACUACAUGUUCCUCAAGGGCCAUGAGACCUACUCCUACUACGGGCCCCUCAACUGGAUCACCUUCAACGUGGGCUACCACGUGGAGCACCACGACUUCCCCAGCAUCCCGGGCUGCAACCUGCCCCUGGUGCGGAAGAUCGCGCCCGAGUACUACGACCACCUGCCGCAGCACCACUCGUGGGUGAAGGUGCUCUGGGAUUUUGUGUUUGAGGACUCCCUGGGGCCCUACGCCAGGGUGAAGCGGGUGUGCAAGCUGGCGGAGGACCGUCUGUGAGCCUGGCCGGACCCCCGUCCCCGGGGGGGUGGGAGCCCUAGGUUGCUCCUGCCGAUUGCCAUGGGCUAGCGCCUGAGAGCUGGCUCGGCCGUGUUUGACUCCUGCAUGGGGCUGCUGCUUUUGUCCCCCAGCAGGCCCUGGAAUUGCCAUCAGCAGCCAGCCCUGGUGACAGUGGCAGGGCUGCAGCCUGGCGCUGCCUGGUCGGCACAUGGACUCGCGGUGGGCCUUGGGACAGGCCUCCCCUCUGGCCCCGCCCACUGUGACCCAGGCGCUCUGUGUCCGUGGUUGCCACAGAGCGGAGUUCUCUGGUGUUCCUGUGCUCUAAAUUAAACCCAGUGUGUGUUGUCGUAGUCCAUGGAUUGUGUUCUGAGGGGUGGUGGUGGCCCGGCUGCCCUUCCUCCUAGCCAGUCCCAAGUGGUGUCCCGUUUGCUCUGGCUCCUUGGGAGGAUGGUGGCUGCUGCCUGGGUGGUGGUCCCCAGGGCCCUGCGUGGCAAGUGGUGGCCUCUGGGGCGUGCGCAGCGGAAGGCAUACUGUGUGGCCUGAAGCCCCUCCCCUCCUGGCUGCGCUCUGCAGGGACCCUCACUCUGCCUUCUGCCCUCCCCUGCAGGGAGCCUUCCUUGAGCCCAGAGACGGUUCAGGCCAGGCACUGGGGUCUGUCUUCCCACCCUCAGGGGUGGGGGCGUAGGGAGCGCUGCACAGAACAGGUGCCUGAGCUCGGGGACUGGACAGACAGCUGAGUGCUCAGCAGGAAGCAGGCUGGGCAGUGUCCUUGGAUUCUGUGAAGCAGGGACACACGUCUGUCCUUUCUGCAGAAGGGCUGAUGGCACAGCUGGGACCUAAGGAGGCUGCCUUCUCCUGGGGGCUGCACUGGGGUGGGGUUAGGGGGUCCUGGUGUCCCAGAGACGGGCGGGCAGGCAGCAGUGGGCUGCCGGAGUGAGGCCCUCCCCGCAGCUUCCACCGCAGCCCUGGGAAGGCAGCUUCCAUGGCCUAGGGAAGGGUGGCUGAGGCUUGGCUGUCCCUGCUGCCCUGGGAGAGGAGGGAGGGCUGGGAGGAGGCCUGGCAGUGGCCUUGGACGGUACCAGGCACCUGUGUCUCUGAAUGGUCGCCCUGGGUGUGUUCUUCGAGGACUUUGAUCUUGGGCGGCGGCCCCUCCCGUGGCUGUGCCUAGAGGGCUCCCCACCCACUCGCCACCUUCCUGCAGACAUCACAGAAGGGCAUGUCUGGGCCGCACCCACAAGCUGGGCCUGGGGUCUGAGGGUGUCAGCACUCCCAGGAGGAGGCCGCUCCUCUCUGGGGAGCGGGUGUCAGCACGGGCUGGGAGCCCCCAGGGCUGCGUCAGCCCUCUGAAGGCCACCUGCUGGCUCCCCAGGCCUGAGACUGGGAUUCCCGGACCUGGCUUAGAACUGCCGUGACACCUGGGAAGCCAUCCUGGGAGCCUCCGCGGCUCGCCUCCCGGGGGCACACGAUCACCCCCGUCUUUCAGGGCUGCAGGACACUCAGGGAACUGAGGCGCGUCAGGAGCCAGACCAGGACAGGAAACGGCAGUGCCCCUUGUAAUCAGCAGACCAGGGCCCAGGAGGCAGGACCGGAGGCCCAGCCCCAGGGCACGGGCCGGAGGUGCCGGAGCCGCCCCAGCUCACCCUUCCAGGUCUCAGAUGUUCUGAUUGAGCCCAGCCACCCACUGAAGACCUUGUCUUGCUCCUGUGACUCCUGUUGCCAUGGUCCUGGGCCUGUCCCCUGCCAGGAGCCACCAGAGCCAGCACAACAGAGUGAGAGCCGGAGCCUGAAGGUGUGGACAGUAAACUGUUUAUUACCGUGUGGACACAGACACCGCGGUGCAUGGACAGACAGUUUCAACACCAUGAUUGCUGGGGACGGAGCUGCGCGCAGACAGCUCUGCUGUGUGUGGUGACACCACGCUGUGCCUGCUGUCAUCGGCAGCUGAGGCGCUAAGCGUCACCUAGGAGAAAACUCGGAAACCGUCUAAUGAAGCAGGUGAUGUGGGGGCAUCCUCUCUAUUAUCCAAAAGAAAUGUACACUUAAAUAAGCAAAUAUAAAAUACAAAAAAGA